UUUAUAUGUUUUUACAGUUAUAUGUUUAUUAAUGCAGUUAGCCUAAAAUUAUUGAUCUGGGUGGAAUUGGAUCACAAAUUCUGGAAUUGUUGGCAUCGGGAUCUGUUGGAGGAAAUGCGGUUGAAUGAACAUUUAUCCAAAAUUUGAAAUCGGUGAUUGAAUUUCUUCAAACGCAAAAGGAAACGUUUUCAUUUGAAAAGCAAGAGGAGUGACUUUGCGAUACGUCUCAAAUAUAAGAAAUGUUUUUAUUUUGCUUCGGAAAUUGUCAAUCGGUGCUUAAAAAGUAUCCAAUGUAAGUGAAAAACAUAUGGAGCAUAGUACGGCUUUCCGGCGUGUCUCAAGCAUAGCAAGUUUAUGUCCUGGUUACGAGGAUAAACGAAUAAGGUGAAAGCGAAUCUCACGAAUCGAGAGUUUGUUGAAGUUCUGUCCGGAUUGCGGAACAAGUGGGUUGAUGCGACAACAUAUCUCACAAAUCAUCUGCCUGUUCAAUUUAAGUAUUUUUAUAAUUGCGCAUUGUUUCAGCUAGAAUAUUUUAUAAUAUUGUUUUACAGUCUUUUAUAGCUGUGAAGUCGGUAUGUCGUUUUAUUUAAUAAGCAGUCUUGCGUACUUGAAAGUGUUAAUUAAGGCACAUUUGUCAUUGUUGGACAAAGUCUUAAAAUCCAAUAGUUCAUUACCAGUUCACAAGUUAUUCCGUUUAGAGAGUUUUGGUAAUAUUGGUGAGCUAAUAUUCCAGUUGCGAAAACGCACUUCUUUGCCCCAUUCAUUGCUGCUUUUUUCUCAAUACACCACGGAAAUAACUAUAAUUAUUGUUGCUAUUUGCGGCGCUAGGUACACAAACUUGCAGAAGAAUUUACUCAGUUGCCGGUCUGUGGACAACGUUUUUUUUAUUAUGUUAUUGUUAUUAUUGGGAAUCUUUGGGAACUAAAACGGCGUUU